UUUGUUAUACGAGUUUACAGAACUUCAACUGCGUUUGAAGCUAUGGGUUUUAUGGGUGAACAUAAUUGUUUGUAAAAAUGUAUCUGUCUGUAACCACAUGUAAAAUGUUCCUAAUAUAUCAUAUUUUUUAAAAAUAUGUAUGCUCUUAUGUAUAGGAUAGUUUAAAAAGUGUUUUAUUGACAAUUUUGCCAUUUUGGUUAGAAAAAGUUUUAAGUUUUAAGGAAAGUUUUUACGCCAUCUACGCUUUUCUGGUUUUUAAUUACGCUUCUAGCUUUCCAAAUGUUGGCAACACUGCGUUCCCGUACUCCAAAAACUAGCAAAACUUGAAACUUGCAGCUCUUUCGAGAAAAAAUGGCGCUGAGUGGUGCACAUUUUGUUUUAGCUACAUGAAUUUGGACGAGCAGAAAUGUGCAAAUUGUAAAUUUGACAUUUAAUUGGCAGGGCUAACAAGGUUGAAAAACGUAUUGAUACAUUUCAAGGUUCGCGCGUAACGAAAACUAAUAUCUGUCGUGCAAAAACAAAAAGAGAAAAUAUGGAGCAAUUGAUGUAUUCACUUUUCGAUGAUUCCAGGAGUGAAGAGGACUUGCUGAAUGAGGAAUCAGACGAAGAAAACGUAUUGGAAAACAGUGCAAAAGUAAUGAAAGAGCUAUGAAAUUUGAUAUAGGGCUUGGCUGUCUUCCCAACUUGUGGCAUCAAGUCUUCUAGCAGAUUUAACAAUAAUUUAAUCGGCGCCUCCAACCAUGUCACCUUCUCCGGGGUUGGGAUUUGAGAAAACUCCACCUCUAAAUACUCUUCAACGCAUUCUGAAAACAAAACUUUCUAAAUAAACAGCAUUCAAAAAUAA